GAUGAACGCUGGCGGCGUGCCUAAUACAUGCAAGUCGAGCGAACAGACGAGGAGCUUGCUCCUCUGACGUUAGCGGCGGACGGGUGAGUAACACGUGGAUAACCUACCUAUAAGACUGGGAUAACUUCGGGAAACCGGAGCUAAUACCGGAUAAUAUAUUGAACCGCAUGGUUCAAUAGUGAAAGACGGUUUUGCUGUCACUUAUAGAUGGAUCCGCGCCGCAUUAGCUAGUUGGUAAGGUAACGGCUUACCAAGGCGACGAUGCGUAGCCGACCUGAGAGGGUGAUCGGCCACACUGGAACUGAGACACGGUCCAGACUCCUACGGGAGGCAGCAGUAGGGAAUCUUCCGCAAUGGGCGAAAGCCUGACGGAGCAACGCCGCGUGAGUGAUGAAGGUCUUCGGAUCGUAAAACUCUGUUAUUAGGGAAGAACAAAUGUGUAAGUAACUAUGCACGUCUUGACGGUACCUAAUCAGAAAGCCACGGUUAACUACGUG
rnacentral:rRNA from 1 species